GCGCUGCUGAAGAGUCCCACGAUAGGACGAAACGACCGUCCAGUGC
rfam:Schistosoma haematobium scaffold1124_14, whole genome shotgun sequence.